CUGGAAACCAGACCACACAGGUCUCGGAGCCUGAAACAGUACCUGUCGAUACUGUUCGUGGCACAACUCCUACGCAAAAUCUUGUACUCGAAACGGAACCUGCUAAGGAAAUCAAAGAAGAAAAAUCUGUAACAAGCGAAGAAGAAUCGAAAAAGGAACUGCCCCCAGUACAAGAAAAGCCCCAAAUAGAUACGGAAUCAAAACAAGACGGCGAACCUUCCUCCCAGAUGGGUCAAGAAUUAAGCAUGCAAACCUCGCAGCCCCCACAAGUAGAAGGAAAAUCGAAGGUAGAACCAGAACUAAUAGAAGAGACACAAACUUCCCAAAUCCCGCAAGGUGAAGAAAAACCUGAAAAAAUUAUUGAAGAGAUGCCAAAUACAGAAUUGGAAGUGAUAAAAAAGAAGGAAUUGCCAAGAAGCCCCGAGUCAGAAACUGCACCUGAAGGAACUAAAAAUGAUGAGCCUAAAACAAAACCAGGGGCACAGCCAGCCGAGAAAUCAACCUUGUCUAGUGAUGAGCCGAAGGAUAGAGCUGAAAUAAAGUCAUCCAUGGCUGAACCUGAUUCCGAAGCACCCGGCCCGCAUGCAGACACAGGCGAG
rnacentral:lncRNA from 1 species